rnacentral:misc_RNA from 1 species
GAAAAUUCUCAAAUUAGCCCUAAUUAUUAAUGUUUCUUUUUCCUAUACAAUAGAUGUAGUCCAUAGACCAUAUGAGUUUUUCCAUAGAUGGUUCUUGAGAGUUGAGGGUAUUUGCUUUCAUUCAUGGAACCAUCUUCCAUCUUAUCCAAUAAAAGUGAGGCUCCUGUUUCAGGAACCAGCGCAUCUUCAACAAAUCAUACAAAGUAUAAGGAGAUCAUCUCGACCCUUCCUCGAAUUGAAGGUAGAUGGCGACAAUCUCAGCAACUCCAUGAAUACCAAGGCUUUUGGUUCGGUCAAAAUAUACUUGAAGGCAUCAUGUCUGCACAGGAACACCUCAAAGCUCAACCUACUGAUAUUUUCAUUUGCAGCCAUCCAAAAUCUGGAACAACUUGGCUUAAAGCCCUGUCUUUUGCCAUUCUGACAAGAAAACGUUUUAGCUAUUCCUCCACAAAUCCUUUGCUUUCUGAGCUUCCACAUGAUGUUAUGCCCUUUAUUGAUAUUUCAGCAUUCACUGAUAUUACCAGCAGAGACCCUGAACUUCCACUUUUGUCCACUCACAUGCCUUACACUUCCUUGCCCAAGUCCAUUGUAGAGGGUAAGUGUAAAAUUAUUUACAUCUGCAGGGAUCCCAAGGAUUUGUUUAUUUCAUUGUGGCACUUUACUAGUAAGUUAAGAGGUACAAGCGCAGAAACCUUUCCAUUGGAGGAGGCAUGUCAGAAAUUUUGUGAAGGACUCCAUAAUUAUGGCCCUUACUGGGAUCAUGUUUUGGGUUAUUGGAAAGCAAGCCUUCAAUUUCCCGAGAGAAUGCUCUUCAUCAAAUAUGAAGAUCUGCAAAAUGACACCUUCUCCUAUGUCAAGAGAAUGGCAGAGUUCAUGGGUUGCCCUUUCUCCAUGGAAGAAGAAAGACAAGGAUUAGUGCAAAAAGUCGUCGACUUGUGCAGCUUUGAGAUUCUUAGCAAUUUGGAGGUGAAUAAGAGUAAAAAGCCCAGCUCUGCAAUAGGACAAUAUGUGAAAAUUGAAAAGAAAGCAUUUUUUAGGAAAGGUAAGGUUGGUGAUUGGGAGAACUAUUUGACAGCUGAAAUGGCAGCUACAAUUGAUCAAAUAACUGAACAGAAGUUCAGUGGUUCUGGCUUGUCUUUUAAAGCUCCAUAAACAUCUUUGUGUCAGUGCCAUAAUUUUGCUUGUGUUUUAGAAUGGUCUGGUAUGCUCUUAUAGCUUAGAAUGAUUGCAGCUAUUAUCUUUAGUUUUUAAUAAAAAUUAAUUUGAAUGUUUAUCACUCUUCUGUGAUCAACCUAAAUAUGUUUUUAAUGAUAUGAAUGAAGGCUUGUACUUGUCUAAGUUUGCAAUAAAAAUUUGUCAGCUAUUCAGUCUUUGGGAUUACAAUAUGAUCGGAUAUUUUGGAUAUUCAAUUCAGAUAUACCCAUUUUGUAUUUGGAUUUUAUGUAUUGGAGGAAGAAGAAGAAGAUGGGAUUUAGAUAUACCCAUAUUACAUUUGGAUUUUAUGUAUUUGAAGAAGAAGAAGAAGUUUCAGCGUCUCGAAAGCGAAGGAAGACAAAUUUCUUUACGGGAAAUGUGAGGACAAACUUUGCGGGAAAAAAGAAAAGCGAGGGCAAAGUUGCAUUGGAUAAGGGGUGUCUUAAUUUCUUUUGCUUGAUGGAGUAACUCACCUCCUCUUCUUGAACUUCUUGUAGCUGGCUACUAAUUUUAAUUUGCUAUUAAUAUAUAUAAUUGUCUUUAGU